GCGGGGGCGUCCCCGGGCCCUGGCGCGGCGCCUGGAGCUCCUGCUGCUGGAAGCGCCAUGUGACCGUGACUCUGCACAAGCCGGGAACGCGGAGAAACAAAGGGCGGCUCAGCGGCCACCGGGCGCUCAGGCUGGCACGGAGGGCCCGGCCCCAACCCCAACCGGGGCCCCGCACUCUUGUCCCUACGGACCCUCGGUGCCCAGGGCGAGCAGGGAGGCGCCGGAUCCUGCUGAGGCCCGGGGCGGGGAGCGCGGCCUCCCAGGGAGCUGGGGAGGGAGGGCAGGCCUGAGGACGCUGAAAUGCAAGUGCGAGGCGGGGUGGGCGAUGUCGGGUCCGGGCUGGGCCGUGGAGUGUUGCAGGUUCCUUCCUCACGGCUGGCUCUGGCAAAUGACCCUCCCUGAACCUCUGUUUCUGUAAUAGAGGUGAAGAUAAUCGUCCCCACGCAAUUAUCCUAGGGUUAGGAGGCUUAAGGGAGGCGUCCCAUGUAGAGCGGUGAGGACAGCACAGGGUUGUCGGGCCGCAUUCUAGCUCCUCUCCCACAUAAACAUGCACAGGAUUUCGGGUCACUGAGCUGCCACUUUCCAGUCACAGCAGGGAUGUAGUUCCGGCCAGAGCACCAGGAAGAGGAGCAGGAUGGGGCAGCUGGCACAGGGCGGAGCCAGGGUGGGCACCGCUGCGUAUAUGGAGAGGGGAUUAGCACUGGGGCUCUAGCAGAAGCGGGGAGAUAGGAAAUCCCAAGACAGCCUGGUUAUCCGGCCCUGGCUCUCUCCCGGCCCUGGAUGGGAGUGGCUUGUCUCCUAGUCACUUUCCCCAGCCCAGGGGGAACAAAGGGGCUGGAGAGGGUGGGGGCCCACCUUGGAGUGGGCCUCAGGGUACAUUGAGACUCCUGCCUCCGCACCAGAUUUGCAGGUUUGACUUCUCCUGAGGAAGCCUCCACCCUAUGGCCACAAGGCCCUAGGGCCUGUAUUUACAGAGUUCUGAAUUUACCUGGCCCUAAAACCACGUGGCCUGUGCAUGCAUAAUAGAGGCCACAGCACAGAGCUCUUGAGGUAGUGGCCCAGUGGGGACUCUGGGCUUGGUCCCAGCUGGGGGACUGACGUUAAGGAUCUAGCCUCCGUUCCUUCCCUGCCUGGGGAAAAAGAGAAGAGGAGCAGUCCAGGCACUGGCGACAGCCUGUAAUAAGAGGCCCUGAGUGCCACCAAGAGCAUGGUUGGAGAGUGACUCAGCCUCGUUGGUGCCUCCUCAGCAUGCAGGACAGGACCAACUGCUGCUACUGCCCACUAUUGUGUAUCCAGGACCUGGAAUACGAUUAGCCCUAGCUAAUCACCAACUGGGGGAUCAAGUGCUGGAGAAAUGCCAUUUGGUGAAGAAGCCCAUGGAUUGCCAAGAGUGGUUUGCCUGUCUCCAAUGGCCCGGAAGGACCUAUAGGGUGAAGUGUGAGGUGGGGAAGGGCGUGAAUGUCGUGGCUACCCCCAGACAAGACCCCACCCGCCGGGGCUCUGAGUGUGCUCGAUGCAACCGUCCAGCAAGCUUUCUGCUUUGGUUUCUAAAGAGUUAGGCUGACUGCCACAAAAACAUGGGCUCUGGAGUCCCAAGGACCCAGGUUUGAAUCUGGCUCCGUCACUCACUACCUGUGUGGCCCUAACCGUGGUCUCUUUACUUUUAAAAUGGAGCUAAUGAUACCUGCUUCUUAGAGUUGUUGUGAGAAUGAGAAAUUGUAUAUGUACGUGACAUGUACUUAGCCUAACACAGAGCCUGGCAUAUAGUAGAGCCGAAUGAUUGGUUCCUAAUGACAGUCCUGACUGUGGAGAGGCAGAGCCUGGUGCUGGCCCUCCCUGCAGGCUCCAUUCUCAGGGGCUCCCUCUGAUCUGGGCUUCUCCAGCACCCCUCUGCCACGUGACCUUCAGGCAUUGUAGGCACCGUCAUUAUUUUCUCUGCCCACCUGGGUUUCCCAUCCCCCUCCUCCUGGUAACACAGCCCACUUUCCCCACCAUGGGACCAGGUGUGUGAACUAGGUCUGGCUGGGACCACAACAGGCCCACUCAAAGCCUUCUCUGAGAUGGAUAUGUUGAUGUGGAGAGAGAGAAGCCCUCUUUUCAAAUCUUUGCCAAUGGCCACGUGCCCCACCACGGCGACAGAGCCUGCGUACAGAGGUCAGGCAAAGACAAGGAGAAAAACCAUCCUGGCUUUCCCCAUAGUGCCUCUCUCAGCUGCGUGAGCUAGAAAUUUCCUUUUUGGUGUAAGCUAGUGGCAAUAUGGCUUCUGAUAUUUGUAAAGAAGACUCCUGCUUGGUACAGGCACUUGUGUCCUUGGAAUUUGGGGACAUAAGGAAUUUGUCUGAAGUACAGAGCAGUUAGUGGUAGAACCAGAAUUCAGGCUUGUUUGGCUGGCUGUCUAUUCACCAUAAACUAUACCACACCUUCCACACAUCAUUCACAAGUUCUUUAUCGAGUGCAUGCUAUGUGCCAGACGCCAAACUCACCUCCCACUCCUCCUUCCACAGCUACUGAAGUCCCCAUGCCCUCAUUCACUCCCAGUCUUUAAGGACCCUGUCAGGAGACAUAAAAAACUGCCCUUCUCCACCAGGAUAGGGCCCAGCACACUCACUGUCUUCCCAGAAUCGGUACUUCAAGAAUCCUCCUCAAAUACGAAGGAUGUGAGAGGAGCCAGCCGCUACCUGCCUACCGCAGUCUGCUCAGCGUGGACUGGCUCCACUUCCUGCUUCCUCAUUCUGCUCAAGGUGUCACCAUGCUUACGGUCGAGGACACCGAUCUGGGCCCGGGAUCUCACCUGACUCUCUCCAGGCUCCCCAAGGACCAAAGCUCUAUUGUGGGAUCAAGGCCCCAUCUGCCUUCCUGGAGUUCCAACCAUGGCCUGCUGCCAAGUCCUGCUCCCCACCACCCUCCAUUGCCUUGUUCCCCCUGGAUUUCCACCACAGGUAACGGUGUGAAGUCAGGGUGAACUUAAUUGGGGUGAAGGAUGACUGCUGCAUUAAAUUGGAUGGAACUGGUCUGUUCAACCACUGCCCAUUAAAAAUGGUGGCCUUUCUUUAACAUAGCCAUAAUGAGACCAUCCCUCCAGAGAAAAGUGCUAAUAGAAUCACCCGCCUUGAAUGCUUAACUCUUACUCAAUGCCUUGACCUGGACGUCUGAUAGACAUGGCCCACAUACUAUCUAAAAUCAAACCUUUUCUUCCCCCCAAACCUGCUCAUUCCACAGCGUUCCCUAGCUCAGUAAAAGACUACAUGGCACCUUCGUUCUUUCAGUGCUCAGACCAAAACCAGUUUAAGGUCUCCUUUGAUGUGUUUCCUUUACUCACACUCUACAGUAAAUAUAUCAGUAAAUCCUUCAUUGGCUCUACCUUCAAAAUAUAUCCACCACUUCCCCUGCUGCCACUGUUCCUAGCCACUGAAGUCUUGACCAUGACCUCCCAGGCUCCAUGUCAUCUGGCCCACUGCCACCUCCCUGGUCUCAUCUCCUGCCACUCUGCCUACUUUGCUCCUGCUGCACUGGCCUUCUUGCUGGUCCUCAGGCACCACAGCCCACUCUUGCCUCGAGGCCUUUGCCCUGCUGUCCUCUCACUUGGAAUUUUCUCCCCGGGCACUCACAAUGCUGGCUUUCUCAUUUUCUUGUGGUCCCUGCCCAGAUGUCACUUCCUCAGUGAGACCUCCAGACCACCCUAUUUAAGGUAAACCCUCCCACAUUCAAUACUCCCACACGCUAGAUCCCUCUUUGCGUUUUUUUUGUUGUUGUACUUAUCACGACUUGGCAUAUCAUCUGUG
ensembl:lncRNA